rnacentral:rRNA from 1 species
CCCUUAGAUGUCCUGGGCUGCACGCGCGCUACACUGACGAACUCAACGAGCUUAUCACCUUGGCAGAGAUGUCUGGGUAAUCUUUUGAAAGUUCGUCGUGCUGGGGAUAGAUCCUUGCAAUUUUUGAUCUUAAACGGGGAAUUCCUAGUAAGCGCGAGUCAUCAACUCGCGUUGAUUACGUCCCUGCCCUUUGUACACACCGCCCGUCGCUACUACCGAUUGAAUGGCUUAGUGAGGCCUCAGGAUCCGCGCUUAAUGUGUGGAGAAUUUGGACAAACUACGUCAUUUAGAGGAAGUAAAAGUCGUAACA